UUAUUUAGUCCUGUGAACGCAUUUCCAUUUCCUGUUCAGAUUUGUCUCUACUUUUCUCAGUUCUGAUGGUUGAUGGCUAAAACGUAAAUGUUGUUUUUUAACUUUAAAUAGUUGACUGUGAGUUGCACCCGUUCCCUUCAAAUGUCCUCAUCUUUUCUCCUUCCCCGUCUCCAGGGCAACAAGCCGUGGGUGUCCCUGCCUCGUGGAAAGGGCCGGCAGCAGCUAAGUCCUAUAUGUAGGUCUAGGCAUCCUGGCUUUGAAAUAAAAACAUGUUAUUUACAACAAAAACCAUCCGCUGACUGGACUUCUGUUUUCCAUGUUGUUUCGUCAAUGAUUAGUUAAUGUGUCUUUUCAGAGCAGCUUUCCCCAACAAACGGGCUCACACUUGAAUAGUAGUUUCAAUCUUCACAUAAAUGAGUGAUAUUUUAUGUCUCCCAGAAUCUCCCCUCAACAUUAUCAUGCACUGGAAUUUCUAGGGUGGAAUUGGGGACGAAUUGAGACCAUAGAGAUGAAAAGAUUGUGUUCCAAAUGGCACACUGUUCCCUAUAUGGCGCACUACUUUUGACCAGGCACCAUAGGCCUCUGGGGCCUUAUUUAUUAACCUUGCUGAUGUAUAGAAGAUGCCUCCUGUCAAUCAUUUGUCGUUAGUGAGAAUCUUUCGUUGAACUUUUAAGUUUUCAAACCACUUUUAAAAUGGACGUCUUUCUUAGGCUAAUGCGUUACGGAGAUUGUACAAUUCCUCAUCCCUUCUGUCGCCGUAUGGUUUCAUAGUCACGAAGUAGCCAACAGGUCGGGGGACCAGUCCCAUUUCUCGUGUAAUUAGACCCACGUCACAGUAACUAAGCUAUUUCAGGUAUUUUUGCUCUGCCAUCGGAUCCGGAGAGCGUGUUUAACGGUGGAACCGACGGUUUUAUGCCACUUCUGUAGUUUUCGCCGGAAUAGUGUAACUUUCUAAUUUCUCAAAUAUUUAAUUUCUUGCCAUAUUUUCAUAGCUGAAUAGGCUAUAUUAAGUAUUUUGCUCUGCAUCAAAGGAAGCGUUUUAAAAAAACACAAUUGAACAAGUGAACAGGCACUUGCUCUUUUGCAUUGAACCGUUUGUCUAUCAUUAAGUACACAAUGUUUCAGUAUUUGCGGGCAGUGCAGCAUAUUUGUGCGCAUUGUUUUCCACAGCCAUUCGCAAUCGUUUUUGCCUUUAUUAAACUUUUUUUUUCUGUCAGAUGGCCUAGGCCAAAUGUUCUGCCAACACCUCCAUAGACCUUUUUAGCAAGUUCUCCAUUGCUAUUUCCUUUAGGAAACUGCCUUGGCCUAAUUCCGAUACUUCCAAAGGAUACAGCAAAUAAGGGCGUUGUCACCACAAAAGGUCAAUGAUGUGAGUUUAUCAGUCUAAAUUGUAAUGCUCAUUCACGCGUGCGCAGUUACGGACGGGUCUGAUUUAUAACUGAUUUAUAAAAAGGGAGUCAAGGACGGAGUGUGAACGUGGAUGGAACUUCUCCACUCGCGCAUCAUUAGGCAACUUACUUCUACAGGGUGGAUCCCAAAAUAAACGUGUUAAAUUAUCAAAACAAAUUAAGUUAGUUGUGGCAAGACGUUUUAUAGAUUUUUUUUUUUUUAAAUGUUAAAAAAAAAUCGCAUAUUGUUUUGGAACGUGUGGAUGUUUUUCUGUGAUAAAACAACAAGCUGAUUCGAAGGAGGUGUGCCAGAGAUAUCG
rnacentral:lncRNA from 13 species